UGAGGAAUAUUGGUCAAUGGGCGCAAGCCUGAACCAGCCAUGCCGCGUGCAGGAAGACGGUCCUAUGGAUUGUAAACUGCUUUUAUUUGGGAAUAAACCUCUUUACGUGUAGAGAGCUGAAGGUACCAAAUGAAUAAGCACCGGCUAACUCCGUGCCAGCAGCCGCGGUAAUACGGAGGGUGCAAGCGUUAUCCGGAAUCAUUGGGUUUAAAGGGUCCGCAGGCGGUCUUAUAAGUCAGUGGUGAAAGCCUACAGCUCAACUGUAGAACUGCCAUUGAUACUGUAAGACUUGAAUUCGAUCGAAGUGGGCGGAAUAUGACAUGUAGCGGUGAAAUGCUUAGAUAUGUCAUAGAACACCGAUAGCGAAGGCAGCUCACUAGGUCUGGAUUGACGCUCAGGGACGAAAGCGUGGGGAGCAAACA
rnacentral:rRNA from 1 species